rnacentral:rRNA from 1 species
UACGAAGGGGGCUAGCGUUGCUCGGAAUCACUGGGCGUACAGCGCACGUAGGCGGAUUGCUAAGUCAGGGGUGAAAUCCUGGAGCUCAACUCCAGAACUGCCCUUGAUACUGGCGGUCUCGAGUCCGGGAGAGGCGAGUGGAACUGCGAGUGUAGAGGUGAAAUUCGUAGAUAUUCGCAAGAACACCAGUGGCGAAGGCGGCUCACUGGCCCGGUACUGACGCUGAGGUGCGAAAGCGUGGGGAGCAAACAGG